UACGUAGGGUGCAAGCGUUGUCCGGAAUUAUUGGGCGUAAAGAGCUCGUAGGCGGUUUGUCGCGUCUGCCGUGAAAGUCCGGGGCUCAACCCGACGUUGCAGUGGGUGACGGGCAGACUAGAGUGUGGUAGGGGAGACUGGAAUUCCUGGUGUAGCGGUGAAAUGCGCAGAUAUCAGGAGGAACACCGAUGGCGAAGGCAGGUCUCUGGGCCACUACUGACGCUGAGAAGCGAAAGCAUGGGGAGCGAACAGGAUA
rnacentral:rRNA from 1 species